UGCUGGAGAAAAGGGAUUUGUCCUGGGAUCUGCCACGUCCCUGGUGAGUUCCCUGAAGCAGGCAGGGGUCUCCCUCAGUCUCCUGUCAAAGCUGUUCCCCUGUUGAGCAAUAAUGAAAUAACAGACUGAGCACGAAACCAUGAGUGAUGCUUUAGCCUGCUGCUCAGAGCAUGCAUGCGGGAGGUGGGAGACCCAGGAUCUAGAGGAACAGCUUCAGCAGCUCAGACUGCCCCAUAGCCCAGGGGCUCUCACUCUUUUCCUUUCUGAACUCCGCCCCUCUCCCUCCAACAUGCUCUUAAAAACUCCACAGCCCAGUUGUGCCACAACCAUUUUUCUGCAUAUAAACACCAGGGCCAGUGUUAGAGGGUAGCAAAGAGGGGAAUUGCCUGGGGCCCCAAACUAAAGGGGGAACUGCAAAGCUAAGGUGCUCAGGCUUCAGCUUCAGCCCUGGGUGCUGAGACUCGGGGCCCCAGGCUGCAGUUCCAUGUGGCAGGGCUUUGGCUCUCUGCCCUGGGGCCUAGCGAGUUUAAUGCCAGCCAAGCUUGGCAGACCCCACCCGGAGCCCUGGUUGAGAAGCACUGCCAGAGCCCAUUGGUUAGGGCCCGGAUCUGAGAGGUGGCAGAUCCCAGUUCAAAUCCCUGCUGCCCCGCAGGUGGUAGGCGAACUUGAGCCAGGGGGGUCUCACACACCCCUCAUGAGUACCCAAACACCUGGGCUACAAGUUAUGAGGUAGCAACUCCUCUUCUGUUUUGGGUCAUCUCACCGAUAGGGGCCCAAUCCAGCAGACGAGGUCUGAAUGUGCUUACCAGCACAGUCCCCACCAGGAAGAGUCAGAGGAGCAAUCUCUCUUUCCCCAUCCGUGCUGAGGGGCUGCAGGGUGCUUGCUCAGAAACGGGGGCACCUGCAGGGCCCGGGAGCAGGUGAGCAAGGUUUGGUGAAUCCCGGCAGGGCCUAAGUCCUUUUGUGAAUCCAGCCCACUGUCUAGGUGUGUGUGUGUGUAUUGUGGGUCACUGAGUAGCACCAUGGCUAGUUAGUAUAAUCCGUACACACCACAUUAUUCUCCCACUUUGCCCCCACUGCCCAGCUCAUGCCAGAAAACAAUGGCGUCAUUGAAGACAACAAUGAGGAGAGUAGCCGCAUAGUGCCAGCAGACGCACCUGGUGCUGAGCAUGAUGUUUCCAUCAUCCGUCUGGUCCCCGUCCAGCCAUUCCCAUGAGUGCUCAACAGGGUCACAACCAGGGUGAUGUGACGGGAACAGAAUGACUGACCUGCCGGAACCGGGAUCCCGCGUGAGGAGAGCAUGGGUGCUGAAGAGCUGCAGGACAGGGGUGGCGUGGGAUGAACACUUCCAGCCAAAGGCUGAGGGCAUCGCCGCCCAGGGCAGCGAUCAGCAGCAAGUGGACGUGCUGCUGCAGGGCGGAGCGGCUACAGACGUGCAAGUGGAACAGGAAGUCUGCCAAAAUUCAAACCCUAUUGUUCAAGUAAUAAUGUCACUGAGCUGGUGAAUCACCAAGGACUGGUCCCCAAGCGUGCAUGGAGGUUGGGCUACCAUAAUGGUGUUGCUGUGUUUCCCCCCCCGUUGCAUGUAUGUGCAAACUGCUCCUCAGGAAAGGUAAAUGAGCACGCCACAUGCUCAAGUGUGAUGGAACAAAUCAUAGAGGGGAUGGCUUCCCCCCCAUAGAUAGUCUACUCGAGUUGUAGGGAAAGGGGUAACCCAUCCUACAUGCUACGAAAAGCACCACCACCACAUUAUUUACUGUACCUGCAGCCAUGUGGUUUGACUGUUUCCCCUCUGUGUGAAAACCCCGUAGUGAUACAUUGGGUUACUAACCUUCAACAAACGUAGCCUGGGCGAAUAGAAAGCGAUCCAGCCCCCCGGGGCUACUUGAGAUGGAAAUAGGUGAGCAUGUCCACCUUGCCUGGGAAUAGGACGGAGAGGUACAUAAUCGAAUACUGCCAGGUGUUCAUGGGAACCCGGGUACGCUCCUUCCCAGGGUACAGAUGCAAAUGGAGGCCAGUGGGGACAAACUGCUCAGCCAGCAUGCCUAGGGAUAGAGGCAUAUGUUUGGCUAGAAAAGAGGCAAACUCAGGGUAGAGCAAUAGUCUAGCUUUGGCAACUCCGUGCCAGGACAGGGUGACAGAGGAUUAAUAUCCAUUAGCUCAAAUGCAUGUACCAUAGGUAGUGUUUCAAGACACUUCACAGAUCGGGUUGGAAAGGAGGAAGGAAAGCAUUGGUACUUUCCUCAGGCUCCACCCACUUCAGAGGUUUCUUGCUGUGAAUGGUAUAGGUCUUUAUCAUAUGGUCAUUCCCCAUCUGUCUUGCAAGUACUAAUAUUUAGGACACUUUACAUGCCAGCAUCCAUGCCAGAACUCGCCAGCAUUGGCAAAGGAUGCUAACAAACAUGUGUUUUAAAUACUUGUAUUUAUAUGGAAUGUAGGAACCUAGGUUCCAUUGAACUUCAUUGGGAUUUAGGCUCCCAAAUCAUGUAGGGACCCUUUUGAAAAAUGUUAUCCAUAGUCUAAAUUUUCAAAAGAGAUUAGUGAUUUUGGGUGCCUCUGUUUCCAGGUGAGAUGAAUAGGGCGCAGUUUUCAGAAAACAAUGAGCCGUCUGAAAGAACAGGCCCCUUUAAGAGGCAUUUUGAAUCCAUAGUUAGGCACUUAAUGGGAUGAUUUUUGGAAGUGGCUGAAAAUUAUACUUAGGAAAAUUAUACUUAGGAAAAUUAUUCUCAACAUGCAUCUAAGAUUUACCAUGACUCAGUUUCCACACAAGCAUUCCUCUAUUAAUGUUGGUUGCAUCCAAAAUAUCAAUAUAAGCGUAUACACCCUUAUAGUGUAUAUCCUUGUAACAAUACAGUUAUAAGCAUUGGCCAAAUACUCAUAACUGCAUCGGGUCUGGGAGACACCUUCCCACCAUGGCGUGACUCCAGAGGAGUAAGGAAAAGCUCUGACAAAGAAUCCCUAGAAAGAAUUGUUUUUAUAUACACUAUAAUGAACAAAUGAUGUCGUUACUGGACUUGAGCUAAAGUCAGCUGAAGCAGUUUUAGGGUUGCACUCUGCUAUCUUCAAGGUUUUCCCCUUUUCUCACUUUGCCAUAUUUUUUCCAGCUACUGGACUAAGCAUUUCUAAUCAAUAAUUUACUGUACCAGUUGCCCAAUUAACCAUGUUUUUUUAUUUCCCAAACCUUAAAUAAGAUAACACUGGUAUUCCAAAGGGUCGCUACAAAGUUUAACACACACAAUCCUGCUUUCUUGUGAGUCCAUUUCUUUUGGUCACAUGCUUUGGGCCUAUUUCUCCUGGUCAUAGCCAAAGUCAAUUUAAAACCAUAGUUCACUCAGGCCAAAUAUGGACCAUGUUCCUACAGUGCACACAAAUCCCAUUGAAACUUCUUUUUGCUAUCAAUGAGAUUUGUGCUCCAUAAAUCACUUUAGGAGCUUUUGAAAAUUGCACUGUAAUUAUGGAGUGAUGGGCCUCUUUUUGAAAAUUCUGGCCAUGUGUUAGGUUGGGCACCCAAAAGCGGAGGCACCAAAAAUGGCUACUCACUUUGAAAAUGAAUUAUUAUUAUUAUUAUGGGUAAAAUUUUCAACAGGACUUAAAUAACUUAGCAGCCAAAGUCCCAUUUUCAGAAAGGACUUAGGCACUGAGGAGCCGAAACUCAGUGCUCCUGUCAUUUAGAUGCUUUUGAAAAUAUUACGCUAUAUUUUAUGCGCACACACAAAAUAUCAAUAGAAUUAAAGUACUCCGACGUAUGGCAUUUUUUUAAGCAGGCCAUGCUUGGGGAGUUUGAAGAGUUAGCAACAAGCCAUUUUUAAGAUAUAGGGAUCCAGAGCCAUACUGGACACCUUGAAUCCAAUAUUUUACAGCACCUUUAUAACAUUAUACCUAACACACAGGUUAAACAGUUUACUUCAUACUUUCAGAAACACAAUUUUCCAUAUAGCCUGAGAAGCACUAUGAACACAGAGGCCCAACGCAUUUUUUGCUACGCCAAGUCAUAAGGGAAGGUGUAAAUAAGACAUUUAAUGGAACCUUGACCACAACAUUGACGAAUGGAGACACUAAUUGUCCCUCUAUAAUACUAAUACAUACACAGGUGCCCUCUCCUGGUAAACUGUGGGGCGUUAUGGGUCAGUUUUGUAUAUUGCUGUGUCUCGGCAUGUUUUUUGGUAGUAAACGUUAUGUUAGAUUAACAUGAAUUCGCUUACUGGCAGCAGGCAAGAAUUUAAGAAACUUACCCACAAAGGAGAAAAUAAGUUUGCCAGCAGCGUCAACAAACUCCAGACUCUGGUAACACCUGUUUGUGCAGCAGGUUUUAUUCAGUCUCAUCAGCGGGUAGUUCAGAGACCACCACAAUCCAAGCAUAAGGAUUAAAGCAUCAGGAAGGGCGUGGCCACCAAAAAUUCCCCAGCUCUACGCCAGCUCACUGGAAACCUGGACCUAAAAGGCAAAAACAGGCAUUUCAAUAGUUCCAUGUACAGUAGCGCUGAGCAAAUAAUGGAUUGAUUUUUUUUUUUUGAUUGAAGCUGACCCUGGGAAUCCAGGGGAAAAUAAAAAUCCAGGGAAAUUUGAACAAAAACCAGGUUUUUUUUGCUAUUCUUUGUCAAAUCAAAAAUCUUGAAAACAUUUGAUUUUGAAUCAACUAAAUCAUUUCAAGUAGAUUUUAACAGAAUUUUGGAGAGUUUUCUGUUUGUUUCCAGUUAAUCAAAACGUUUUGAAAUUAAUCAAAAUGAAUUUGACAAAAAUGCUCUUGAUUUUUUUGGUCC